rnacentral:rRNA from 1 species
UACGGGAGGCAGCAGUGGGGAAUAUUGGACAAUGGGGGCAACCCUGAUCCAGCCAUGCCGCGUGAGUGAAGAAGGCCUUCGGGUUGUAAAGCUCUUUCGGCCGGGAAGAAACGGGGUUCUCUAACAUAGGACAUGGAUGACGGUACCGGACUAAGAAGCACCGGCUAACUACGUGCCAGCAGCCGCGGUAAUA